UGUGGCUGGGGGUGAAAGGCCAAUCAAACCGGGAGAUAGCUGGUUCUCCCCGAAAGCUAUUUAGGUAGCGCCUCGUGAACUCAUCUUCGGGGGUAGAGCACUGUUUCGGCUAGGGGGUCAUCCCGACUUACCAACCCGAUGCAAACUGCGAAUACCGAAGAAUGUUAUCACGGGAGACACACGGCGGGUGCUAACGUCCGUCGUGAAGAGGGAAACAACCCAGACCGCCAGCUAAGGUCCCAAAGUCACAGUUAAGUGGGAAACGAUGUGGGAAGGCUCAGACAGCCAGGAUGUUGGCUUAGAAGCAGCCAUCAUUUAAAGAAAGCGUAAUAGCUCACUGGUCGAGUCGGCCUGCGCGGAAGAUGUAACGGGGCUAAACUGUGCACCGAAGCUGCGGCAGCGACGCUUAUGCGUUGUUGGGUAGGGGAGCGUUCUGUAAGCCUGCGAAGGUGUCCUGUGAGGGAUGCUGGAGGUAUCAGAAGUGCGAAUGCUGACAUAAGUAACGAUAAUGCGGGUGAAAAGCCCGCUCGCCGGAAGACCAAGGGUUCCUGUCCAACGUUAAUCGGGGCAGGGUGAGUCGACCCCUAAGGCGAGGCCGAAAGGCGUAGUCGAUGGGAAACGGGUUAAUAUUCCCGUACUUGGUGUUACUGCGAAGGGGGGACGGAGAAGGCUAUGUUGGCCGGGCGACGGUUGUCCCGGUUUAAGCGUGUAGGCUGGUUUUCCAGGCAAAUCCG
rnacentral:rRNA from 1 species